rnacentral:rRNA from 1 species
UACGAAGGGGGCUAGCGUUGCUCGGAAUCACUGGGCGUAAAGCGCACGUAGGCGGCUUGUUAAGUCAGGGGUGAAAUCCUGGAGCUCAACUCCAGAACUGCCUUUGAUACUGGCGAUCUCGAGUCCGGGAGAGGUGAGUGGAACUGCGAGUGUAGAGGUGAAAUUCGUAGAUAUCAGGAAGAACACCUAUGGCGAAGGCAGCUCUCUGGGACGGUACUGACGCUGAGACGCGAAAGCGUGGGGAGCGAACAGG